rnacentral:lncRNA from 1 species
CUCUCUCUCUCUCUCUCUCUCUCUCUCUCUCUCUCUCUCUCUCUCUCUCUCUCUCUCUCUCUCUCACGCACACAGGCGAAGAUCUACAUGAGAGCUUGAUAGGGCUCAAGCCCAACCAAGAAUUCUUGAAUAAGUAAACUAACAUAUGUAAAACUUCCAAGGUUGAAGGUUUUGCAGGCAUGGCUAAGUAUUUAAACUAUUAUCAAGCCAACCCAAGUUCGAUUCCCCUCUCUUUUCU